UGUAAUGCUAAUUCUAUGGCGACAUUAUGAGGGACGAAGCGUGGGAGAUAUACAGUAAAUAUGAUGAAUGAGGUUGUGUUUAUGUUUGGGUAAUAAACAAAUGAUGAACUUUUAUUCAGAAAUUACAAGAAACUAAAAGAAAUGAAGUUUAUAUUUAAUGAAUAACUAAAGCUAAAGAAAUGAUUAGAAGAGUUUGAUCAAGACCAUCAGAAAAGGAAAAAAUCCUCCCUCGAAUACAAUAUAGACGAAGAGGAAAAAGCCUGAAUCCAAAUUCC